rnacentral:misc_RNA from 1 species
UGUGGGAGCGAGCUUGCUCGCGAUGGCGUCAGCACAUUCAACAAAAAAUGUUGAUUGAAAGAUCGCUAUCGCGAGCAAGCUCGCUCCCACA